GGCAGGAAAGAACAAGAAAAGGAGGGAGAAAGAACUAAGAAAGGAAGAGAGGAAGGGAGGGGAGGAGAGAGAGAGGAAAAGAGGAUGAAAAAUGAGAGGUGGAAUAACAGCUAGACAGGAAAGGAGAAUGAGAAAAGUAAGACGCAAACAGGGAGAGCAAAAAUUAAAGUAACCUAGAUGUGGCAGUCAAGAGAUUGUGAAAGAUGUGUAUACAAAAGAGGGGCCAUACCACAGCAGUAACUUGACCACAGCAGUAACUCAAUGCAUGAUUUGUGUUCCUGUAUCUUUUAAUGGCACAAGUCCUGGGACCUUUGAUGAGGCUCUGUCUAAUCAUAGAAGGACUCUGCCACCAGAAUAACCUAGUUUGCAUAAACUUUCCUCGUGUUUUCUUUCACUCCGCUAUCCAGACUGUAGGGUGUGCCUUACAUUAUUUAGCUGAAUUGUCAACAGGUGUACUGAGUAAACUGUUUGAUUUAUAAAUAUCUCUGUAUCUAAUCAUGUAUCAAUUUCUCAAAUUAUGGUGUUUCACAUAUUGGUUUCUCUAAAGAUUAUUUCAUUUCACAAUUUGAGGCAGUUUUGUGAAAAGAAACAUAUACAUAUAUUUUAAUUUCUG
rnacentral:lncRNA from 10 species